rnacentral:tRNA from 1 species
GAGGACAUAGCUCAGUGGUAGAGUUCUUGCCUGGACUGCAUGAAGCCCUGGAUUCAAUCCCCAAUUUUUUUU